CAUUGACUAAAUUACCCCUCGUUCUGACUGCUACGGUGCUACCACGCCGCUCGCCGGACCCCCGCACAACACGAACCUCCGCCUGUCGCCGCCCGUAGGAUCCCCGCCGCCGGCGAAACUCGAGCACUGGCCAUCCACUCUCGUGUGUCGACCGACGCCGCAGCCUCGUCGCACGCGCGCCCAGCUCGUUGCUCGUCAAAUCGCCGUCUCUUCGCGUGGGCGUCCGUCCACCUCACGGCCCGGACCGCUGCGCCCCUCCCCGUCGGCGCGGCGUGCUAUUCCAAGGCUAAGGCCGGCCGUCGCGUUCCAAGCUUCCAUAGCUCCCUCGCUUCGACCUACCUUCUGCCCUGGCUUCUAAACCGGCGGCGCAUCUGCGCUGAGGACAACGUGUUCGAUGAAAUGCCACCGGCUGGGCUUUUGGCUCGGCGAGUCCUGCGUGGGAGAGCUGAGCCGAUGGUGAGGCCUUUGCUUCCCCCCAGAGCAUGGACACGAUGGGUGCACGGCGGCAGGGAGCCACAGGAGGAAGAGUUCCCUUACGCCGACGUACCCCGGCCCGGGAGGAAGUGGGAGAGGAAGCCCUACGUGACGCCAAUGAAGGUCCUCAUCCGGAGGGCUAAGGAGGAGAGACGGGCCCGGCAGGAGGCCCCCUGCCGCGUGCUGGAGCACCCGCCCGCCAACGGCCUUCUCGUGCCGCACCUCGUCGAGGUUGCGCAUCGGGUGCACAGAGCAAGGGAGAAGCUCCUCCGCGGCCUCGCCAUCCUUGUGAAAGGCGAAGCUGCCAUCCCGGUGAAGCGAUGCAGGUUCUGCUCGGAGGUGCACAUCGGUGACGUCGGGCACGAGAUCAGGACGUGUGAGGGCCCCAACAGCGCGUCGAGGAACUCCUUGCACGUGUGGCGGCCAGGGACAGUACGGGAUGUCCUCGGCUUCCCAUACUGCUACCACCUGUUUGAUCGUGUUGGGAAGCCCAGGGUGGUGCACAAGGAGAAGUACACCGUCCCGAGGCUCCCGGCCAUCCUGGAGCUAUGCAUCCAGGCAGGUGUCGACGUCGAGCGAUACCCAACCAAGAGGAGGACAAGGCCAGUCUACUCAAUCGAUGGCAGGAUUGCAGACUUCGAGCUGGACGAAGAAGACGGCUCCCCCGAAGCAGAAACAUCACCUGAAGCUUUGUCGUGUCCAUCCCCACUGCCUCCAACAAGUUCUGCUUGUACUGCCUAUGCCGGUGACCGAACAGAAGAAGAGAUCACCGUGAGGGAGAUGAGCUACAGGACUCUGGAGUCCUGGCUGGAGAUGCGGUCGGGCGCGGUGAAGCUGAUGAGGAAGUACGGUGUGGUCACCUGCGGGUACUGCCCGGAUGUGCAGGUCGGGCCCAAGGGCCACAAGGUGAGGAUGUGCAAGGCGAGCAAGCACCAGCAGCGGGAUGGGCAGCACGCGUGGCAGGAGGCCACGGUGGACGACAUUGUCCCACUGAACCACGUCUGGCACGUCUGCGACCCGGCUGGUGACAGUGUGCCUCUCGCGAACGAGCUCAAGAGGUACUAUGGCAAGGCCCCGGCCGUGGUGGAGCUCUGCGUGCGCGCGGGCGCGCCAGUACCGGCGCAGUACAGGAGCAUGAUGCGGCUGGACGUUGUGCCACCCGCACGCGACGAAUAUGACCUCGUCGCCUGAUACACAGACUGGCAUUGCGGUGCCUGGUGCUCGUGCAUGUUUUUGAGUUCGCCUGCAUGUCGGAGCUGCGCAAGGUUGAAAUGGCCGCUGGAGUGGCAGACAGAGGGGAGAUGAGUCCAUGGGCUCAUCGGCGGAGCCUUGAGGGAAGGAAGCUUCACCCUAGCCGCCGCCACCGCUGGAGGGGACGGAAUAGAUCGGUUUUGCUUGCGUAUAUACCUAGGUCUAAACUAUCAGUUAACAGCUUACAUCCGAGGUCGAGAUGAAUGCAGUUUGUGACAGAUCUUCAUGUAGUCAUGUCCCGUGCUUCUGCUGCUGCUGUUGCCACUCAAGAAUCGCCGAAUGGAGCGCCCUGUUUGGGGUGAGAUUGCAGUGUUUGAGCUUCAGGUUCGUCAUCGGCGACGUGUCGUGUCCACUGUCGAGCCACCUUCUGAUAGCUUCAGCUUCGUAUGUGAACCCAUCUGCUGCAAUCUGAGGGUCACACAUCACCUCCUGUUCACCACGCAUCACACCAAAAGUUGACAAAGCUGGAUGGUGUGUGUGUGUCAUCUGACGAAGCUGCAAAGGAUGGCCGCCCAGCGUUCAGGGAGGCGGCCUUCAUCAGUGGCUCGAUCACUCCCCACACCCCCCCUAUAAGAUCUGGUCGGCGCUUCCCACUCAAGUUGGCGCAUCUCAGUCCAAGACGCGCAAGCUGGUCGGCCUGUUGGUAUGGCCAGCUCCCUGCGGAAUCGUCGAUAAUGGAAUGCAGGUGUUGACAAUGAAGCAACUUUAUAGCCACAGUCGUGUUUCGGAGGAAACCCUUAUAGACUCUUCCAGAUCCACCUUCACCAAUCUUGAGUGCUACAUCAAAGCAUUUGGUUGCUUGCUGCAGCUCAGAUAGCACCAAGUAGACGCCAUCAGCUUCAUAAGUUGGAGAGUGUUUCACUGGUCUUAGUUGGCGUGCAUCAGAAAUAAUCACAGGUGACCAGGAUAUUGCAGGAAGAUUUUCAUUAAUUUCCCUGUAAUUGCACAGGGAAGUACCAGCUUACUUCUGUGGGUCGAUCGUAUGGGGCUACGGACAUGAGCUAUCACAACCCUGGAUCCAUCCUUGGCCAGGUUCUUCAUCGCCCACAGCAAGGUGCUCACCCCUUCGUUGGCAUCGUCUGCCAACGCAACGAACACCGUGCCCUCUGCACCAGGGUAGCUCUGCCCGUCCGGCUCGUCGCCCGUCGUCGACGAGCUGAGGCUGCGCUGGGCGCUCCAGAAUGUCUCGCGGUCGCUGUCGUCCAGCUCCAUUGCCGCCUCCCGAGGCUCCGAUGAUGAGACGGCCGUGUGAGAACUGUAUGAGUACUAAAAUUUGAUCAAUACUCGGUCAGUGCUCAGUAUACUUAACAA